UACGGAGGGCGCGAGCGUUGUUCGGAAUUAUUGGGCGUAAAGCGCACGUAGGCGGCUUGAAAAGUCUCUUGUGAAAGCCCGGGGCUCAACCCCGGGAGGCCAGGGGAUACUGUCGAGCUGGAGACAGGCAGAGGCUGGUGGAAUUCCGGGUGUAGCGGUGGAAUGCGUAGAGAUCCGGAGGAACACCGGAGGCGAAGGCGGCCAGCUGGGCCUGAUCUGACGCUGAGGUGCGAAGGCGUGGGGAGCGAACAGG
rnacentral:rRNA from 1 species